GAUGAACGCUAGCGGCAGGCUUAACACAUGCAAGUCGAGGGGCAGCGCAGGUAGCAAUACUGGGCGGCGACCGGCAAACGGGUGCGGAACACGUACGCAAUUUACCCUUAUCUGGGGGAUAGCCCGGAGAAAUCCGGAUUAAUACCCCAUAAUAUAUAUGGAUGGCAUCAUCUGCAUAUUAAAGCUCAGGCGGAUAAGGAUGAGCGUGCGUCCCAUUAGCUAGUUGGUAGGGUAAAGGCCUACCAAGGCGACGAUGGGUAGCUGGUGUGAGAGCACGACCAGCCACACGGGCACUGAGACACGGGCCCGACUCCUACGGGAGGCAGCAGUGAGGAAUAUUGGUCAAUGGACGCAAGUCUGAACCAGCCAUGCCGCGUGGAGGAUGAAGGCCUUCUGGGUUGUAAACUUCUUUUAUCGGGAAGAAAUUAUGGUUUCUACUAUAACCGACGGUACCCGAGGAAUCAGCACCGGCUAACUCCGUGCCAGCAGCC
rnacentral:rRNA from 1 species